GCCUACGGGGGGCAGCAGUAGGGAAUUUUCGUCAAUGGGCGCAAGCCUGAACGAGCAAUGCCGCGUGAACGAGGAAGGUCUUCGGAUCGUAAAGUUCUGUUGAAGGGGAAAAAGAGCUGAGAGAGGAAAUGCUUUCUGAUUGAUAUUACCCUUCGAGGAAGUCACGGCUAACUACGUGCCAGCAGCCGCGGUAAUACGUAGGUGGCGAGCGUUAUCCGGAAUGAUUGGGCGUAAAGGGUGCGUAGGCGGCCUGCUAAGUCUGGAGUGAAAGGUACCGGCUCAACCGGUACAGGCUCUGGAAACUG
rnacentral:rRNA from 1 species